ACAAGGGGGAUUGCCCUAGUAACGGCGAGUGAAGCGGCAACAGCUCAAAUUUGAAAUCUGGCUCUUUCAGAGUCCGAGUUGUAAUUUGCAGAGGGCGCUUUGGCUUUGGCAGCGGUCCAAGUUCCUUGGAACAGGACGUCACAGAGGGUGAGAAUCCCGUACGUGGUCGCUAGCUAUUGCCGUGUAAAGCCCCUUCGACGAGUCGAGUUGUUUGGGAAUGCAGCUCUAAAUGGGAGGUAAAUUUCUUCUAAAGCUAAAUAUUGGCCAGAGACCGAUAGCGCACAAGUAGAGUGAUCGAAAGAUGAAAAGCACUUUGGAAAGAGAGUCAAACAGCACGUGAAAUUGUUGAAAGGGAAGCGCUUGCAGCCAGACUUGCUUGCAGUUGCUCAUCCGGGCUUUUGCCCGGUGCACUCUUCUGCAGGCAGGCCAGCAUCAGUUUGGGCGGUGGGAUAAAGGUCUCUGUCAUGUACCUCUCUUCGGGGAGGCCUUAUAGGGGAGGCGACAUACCACCAGCCUAGACUGAGGUCCGCGCAUCUGCUAGGAUGCUGGCGUAAUGGCUGUAAGCGGCCCGUCUUGAAACACGGACCAAGGAGUCUAACAUCUAUGCGAGUGUUUGGGUGUCAAGCCCGAGCGCGUAAUGAAAGUGAACGGAGGUGGGAACCCGCAAGGGUGCACCAUCGACCGAUCCUGAAGUUUACGGAAGGAUUUGAGUAAGAGCAUGGCUGUUGGGACCCGAAAGAUGGUGAACUAUGCUUGAAUAGGGUGAAGCCAGAGGAAACUCUGGUGGAGGCUCGCAGCGGUUCUGACGUGCAAAUCGAUCGUCAAAUUUGGGCAUAGGGGCGAAAGACUAAUCGAACUAUCUAGUAGCUGGUUCCUGCCGAAGUUUCCCUCAGGAUAGCAGUAACGUAUUCAGUUUUAUGAGGUAAAGCGAAUGAUUAGAGGCAUGGGGUUU
rnacentral:rRNA from 1 species